rnacentral:tRNA from 1 species
CGACAGAAAGCGAUUAUGUCGCACCCGGUUUCGACCCGGACUUUGGUUGGUGUAAUUCCUAUCUCUGUUUA